rnacentral:rRNA from 1 species
UACGGAAGGCAGCAGUGGGGAAUAUUGCACAAUGGGCGAAAGCCUGAUGCAGCUAUGCCGCGUGUACGAAGAAGGCCUUAGGGUUGUAAAGUACUUUCAUCGGGGAGGAAAAACAAAACUAAUAAUUUUAUUUCUUGACGUUACCCGAAAAAGAAGCACCGGCUAACUCCGUGCCAGCAGCCGCGGUAAUACGGAGGGUGCUAGCGUUAAUCAGAAUUACUGGGCGUAAAGAGCACGUAGGUGGUUUUUUUAAGUCAGAUGUGAAAUCCCUGGGCUUAACCUAGGAACUGCAUUUUGAAACUGAAAUACUAGAGUAUCGUAGAGGGAGGUAGAAUUCUAGGUGUAGCGGUGAAAUGCGUAGAUAUCUGGAGGAAUACCUGUGGCGAAAGCGGCCUCCUAAACGAAUACUGACACUGAGGGUGCGAAAGCGUGGGGAGCAAACAGGGAUUAGAUACC